UGAGUAACACGUGGGUAACCUGCCCAUCAGAGGGGGAUAACAUUCGGAAACGGAUGCUAAAACCGCAUAGGUCUUCGAACCGCAUGGUUUGAAGAGGAAAAGAGGCGCAAGCUUCUGCUGAUGGAUGGACCCGCGGUGCAUUAGCUAGUUGGUGAGGUAACGGCUCACCAAGGCCGUGAUGCAUAGCCGACCUGAGAGGGCGAUCGGCCACAUUGGGACUGAGACACGGCCCAAACUCCUACGGGAGGCAGCAGUAGGAAUCUUCCGCAAUGGACGCAAGUCUGACGGAGCAACGCCGCGUGAGUGAAGAAGGUUUUCGGAUCGUAAAACUCUGUUGUUAGAGAAGAACAAGUGCUAGAGUAACUGUUAGCGCCUUGACGGUAUCUAACCAGAAAGCCACGGCUAACUACGUGCCAGCAGCCGCGGUAAUACGUAGGUGGCAAGCGUUGUCCGGAUUUAUUGGGCGUAAAGCGAGCGCAGGCGGUUCCUUAAGUCUGAUGUGAAACCCCCCGGCUCAACCGGGGAGGGUCAUUGGAAACUGGGGAACUUGAGUGCAGAAGAGGAGAGUGGAAUUCCAUGUGUAGCGGUGAAAUGCGUAGAUAUAUGGAGGAACACCAGUGGCGAAGGCGACUCUCUGGUCUGUAACUGACGCUGAGGCUCGAAAGCGUGGGUAGCAAACAGGAUUAGAUACCCUGGUAGUCCACGCCGUAAACGAUGAGUGCUAAGUGUUGGAGGGUUUCCGCCCUUCAGUGCUGCAGUU
rnacentral:rRNA from 1 species